GACAGAGGGUGCAAACGUUGUUCGGAAUUACUGGGCGUAAAGCGCGUGUAGGCGGCCCGGAAAGUUGGAUGUGAAAGCCCUGGGCUUAACCUAGGAAGUGCAUUCAAAACUGCCGGGCUUGAGUUCUGGAGAGGAAGGUGGAAUUCUCGGUGUAGAGGUGAAAUUCGUAGAUAUCGGAAGGAACACCAGUGGCGAAAGCGGCUUCCUGGUCCAGCACCGACGUUCAGGCACGAAAGCGUGGGGAGCAAACAGG
rnacentral:rRNA from 1 species